CCCGGAAAUAUCACCGUUGCCGUUUUUUACACUAUGACGCAACUCAUCCAUGGACGCUCGUCUGCUGCUGAAUUCAUGUUUUACAGUUGAAAAGAAUGGAAAGAAAUAUAGUAGUCCGAUAGAUAAUACGAGGACCUCUUGUUUUUCAAAACUGUUGGGUCAAAAAGUUAUUGUAAACAGAUAAAUUGAAAUGGAUUGCUUUUCGAUUAACUGGAAGAAAGCGGUAAACGAAACGCACACAAAACAAGAAAGUUGUGUUUCUUUUUGAUGUAAUACAUACCCACUAUUUUGUACUUGGAAAGCACAACGAAAGCUGACUCAAAAUCAUGCUGUUUGGGCCCUCUUCAGACUUGUACAAUGUACAUAGGAAGUGGACUCCUUGAGAAGGUGAAAGGUCUGCUUUACAUCAUUUUCAAUGGAUGUACAAGUACAAGUACUUUGAGAAGUAUGAGAAGCUAAUCAACAGGACAUAAUUCAUUUGGGUCAUUGCUGUCUAGAUUAUAUAGUGGAUUCAUAGAUUAUCGAAUUGAUUUAUGUGCAUAUGAGCACAGAGGAGCAGUAGUCAAUGAAUAAUUUUGUGAGGAGAGCUUGUUACCAAAUGAAAGGAAAGGAUGUAUGUCAUGUAGGUGUAAAAGUCCUGCAAAACAGAACUGAUAUCAAAAUACUAUCCACAGUGAAUAUGGUGAAGAAUAACCAAUACAUGUACCAUGAAUACAGGACAUGGAAGACCUUACAAACUUGGGAGUUUUACAAAAAAUAGAACAUUUAAAUUUACAAAGAAGACAUUUAUUUUGACAUUCAUAGACUUGGAAAGUAAAGAAAUUAGAAUGUGAAUAAAAAUCCUUGGAAAUAAAAUUUUGAACUUUGAAGAAGAUUGAUGUUUGUUUUAAGAAAGUUUGAAGAAAAAGGAU